AUUGAACGCUGGCGGCAGGCCUAACACAUGCAAGUCGAACGAGUGGCGGACGGGUGAGUAAUGUCUGGGAAACUGCCUGAUGGAGGGGGUUACCUACUGGAACCGUUACCUAAUACCCCUUACAAUCGGUUUUCCCCAGAUGGGAUUAGCUAGUAGGUGGGGUAAAGGCUCACCUAGGCGACGAUCCCUAGCUGGUCUGAGAGGAUGACCAGCCACACUGGAACUGAGACACGGUCCAGACGCCUACGGGAGGCAGCAGUGGGGAAUAUUGCACAAUGGGCGCAAGCCUGAUGCAGCCAUGCCGCGUGUAUGAAGAAGGCCUUCGGGUUGUAAAGUACUUUCAGCGGGGAGGCGUUACCCGCAGAAGAAGCACCGGCUAACUCCGUGCCAGCCGCCGCGGUAAUUC
rnacentral:rRNA from 1 species